UUCGAUUUCUAACUCUCAAAUCACAAUAAUCAUUCCCUUCCUCCAUUCUCCUGUUACAGUUUAUCUCACUCCACAUUCCCUCAAGAAUCGAGUUCCCACUCGCCGGAUCCUCAUUGCUUCAGGCCUUCAAUCGCGAUGAAGGCGGGAGCGCAGCCGGCGGUUAAGGUCGUCGCGCUCUGUGGUUCUCUUCGCAAAAAUUCUACCAACAGAGGCUCUCUCUCCAUUUUUCUGUUUCUGUGCUCUGUUUUUUUGUCGAUUGUUCGUCGUCUAGGGCUCUGAUUCGGCGACCGUUGUUGUAGCGACGGAGAUUGCUGAGUCGAUCGAUGGAUUGGAAAUCGAAUAUGUAGAUAUCUCGCCGUUUCCGAUGCUCAACACCGAUUUGAAGGUUGGUGGAACGUAUCCUCCGGCUGUCGAGGCGUUUCGUCGGAAGAUUCUGGAAGCAGAGAGUGUUCUCUUUGCUUCGCCGGAAUAUAAUUACUCUAUCACCGGUGCACUGGAACUAAGAACUAGUCUUUUUUUUUGCCAACCUCUAUCGAAGAAAUUUAGCCUUAAGGAAUCCCUUAGAUAUGAUACAAAAUGGAUUUGUUCUCUGUGAACCAUAUGAAUUGGAGUUUGAAGAAGGGGAAGGAGAAGGAGUCCUCGACCCCACGGAUAGAAGAGGAUUUAUUCAAUCACAUAGGUUGGGCUCCUAGAAUAUGGCGCCCUUGGGGCUUUCUAUUUGAUUGUAUCAAAAGGCCCAAUGAAUUGGGAUCACGGUUUACUGUAUAAAUCAUAUUUGACCCUUAAUUAUAAGCCAGUGUCGAGUAUUGUUGAAGAUAAUUAGUCUUCUAUAAUGGUUUAACAUAUAUAUCGUAUUUGAUCCUUGAUCAUAGUCUAAUAUCGUAUAUUCAUUUACUGCUCUUUCUAUUUCAUUUGUAAUCUAUUUGAUUCUAUAAAUGAUUAUUAAAAGAGAGCUCUUACCAUCAUUUAGGUGCGGUGAUUUUAGUAAAUAUUCUCACUUUUUUCUAAAAAUAUUGGUUUUUAGAAUGAGUAAUUGCCUCCUUCGGCCAUACUGCCUACCUCGAGAGCAAAUAGCUAAUAGAUUUCACGUAUUGUACGAGGUGUACGAGGUGCACUGAAACAACAUGAGAUUGAAUUUGGGUUAAGUUUAAAUGAAUCGUGUUUAUACACGUCAACUUUUCAUUCAACCUUCUAACUAAUUUUCUUGAUAAGGGUAGUUUUGAAACCUUUAGUUCUUUCAUACUCAUUGAUGG